rnacentral:misc_RNA from 1 species
UCUCCGUUGGUGAACCAGCGGAGGGAUCAUUACCGAGUGCAAACUCAUAACCCUUUGUGAACCUAUAUCUGUUGCUUCGGCGGCUCGCUCUCGGGCGAGCCCGCCGGUAAUAUCAGUAUCUCUGUUUGAACCCGACGAUACUUCUGAGUGUUCUUAGCGAACAGUUAAAACUUUUAACAACGGAUCUCUUGGCUCUAGCAUCGAGGAAGAACGCAGC